GCUUGAGGGUGGAGGAACGGGCGAAGGCCUGGCCGCAUUCAGCACAAGGAAAUGGCCUCUCGCCAGUGUGGAUGCGCUGGUGGCGCAGCAGACGCGAGGGCUGCGCGAAGGUUACACCGCAGUCGGUGCAUUUGAAGGGCCUCUGGCCGGUGUGCAGCGUCUGGUGCUCCUGCAGGUUAGAGGAUUUGGUGAAGCACUUGCCGCAGGUGGAGCAGGGGAAGGGCCGCUCGCCCGAGUGCACGCGCUGAUGCUCCACCAUGCGGCUGGCCACGGAGAACUCGCGGCCGCAGGAGGAGCAGCGGAAGGGCUUGGCGCCCAGGUGUGUGCGCUGGUGGCGCAGCAGUGACAGUGGCCUGUUGAAGGUCAAGCCGCACUGGGCACACGGGAAGGGCUUGUCAUUGCUGUGCAUGUUGCGCUGGUGUUUGCGCAGAUCGGAGGAGCGCACAAAAGCCCUGCCGCAGUCCGGGCACCCAUAGGGUUUCUCGCCCGUGUGAGUGCGGAUAUGCUUGCGGUGAUCGGAGGACCAGGUGUACGCCUUGUCGCAGAAGGGACACCGGUAUGGCCGCUCGCCUGUGUGUAGGCGCCGGUGCUGCUGCAGCGUGCUGCGAUGGGAGUAGGCCUUCCCACACAGUUGGCACACGUAGGGCUUGGAGCCAUGAUGUUCCGCGGGGACCUGAACUUUGGUGGACUUCUGGAAGGCCCGCACACACCUAUCGAGACCCUCCUCUUCCUGCCCGCUGCCUUCUGGGCCCGCCUGGCCCUGGACUUUUCUACUGCUCCGUACUUUUACUAACAGGCUGGCAGGAAUGGUUGGAGUCUGAACUAGUGUACUCUCAGACCUGGGAAAGUGCUCCAGAGAGUUCUUGUCUAGGGAAGAUGCCUCAACACUGUUCUGUGCCUCAAAAUACCCUCCACUGUCCAAGAAGCUGUUCGGGACUUCUGAGGCUGGGUCCUUAUUUGCCUUCUUGCCUCCGUCACUGCCCACGGAGUCCCUAAGGGGCUGUAUCUGAACUUUGUGUAAUAAACUUCUGGAAGGGGCACCAAGAGCCUCCUGUAAUUUGGGGGAGUCUCGAAUCUGGGUGAUCCUCGAUGCCUUUUUCCCCCCGUUGCUGGUCUUCCCAGGCAUCUCCCCAGGUUUCUGCGCCACACACCCAGCACUGAAGCACUCAGGCCAGUUCUCUUCCUCUUUGCAGGACUGAGUGUCAAACUGCGAGUCGGUGUUGUUCUGAGUUCCUGGGGAGCCACCCUUCCUACCAUCCUCUUCUUCACUCUCCAAGCUCAUUCUCAGCAUCUGAGUGCUGCCAAGGGGCACCUUGGUCCACCUAUCCUGGGAGUCCACCUGUGCCAUGGUGCCUCUUCUAUUGCCUGCUCCUCCCAGAAAGAGCCUUCGCUUGGCUCACAGCGCCUGCAGAAAGCGAGGGUGAGGGAGGGAUGUUGGAGGAACAAACAACAGAAAGUAUAACCUCUGACUAAUUUCCAUUUGCCAUGAGAUCUCCAUGUGAAACUUCCCAGACUCCUCUUUGUUUUUGAGGAUGUGUUGGCAUUGAUACCAUCUUGAUGGUAGGUGACAGGCAUCCUUGUGAUACAUAAGAUCUGAAGUGGCCCAGAUGCUACUUACAUCAUGAGGUAAUGCGAGCCCAUUAUGUUUCUGAGUUCCUGCCCUGCUAUGCCCCCUGAGUCAAAUGCUUUGAUCUUUUCUGCCUGAGAUUCUUCACCAUAUUAAUGGCCUGCACACAGAGGGUCUGGGACCCCUGAGAACUGAACUCUAGAAUAUCUUGUAUCGUGUGUCCUUUGCAUACCUUUCACAUCACAAGCACAUUCACUGUCUCACUUCAUCUCCAUGAGCUUCCUCUAAGCUACAAGGCAUGGAGAGUUGGCCUCGACACCCUCUGCCCUUCUUUUAAGAACUUCUGGAAGCCGUGGAGGUAGCUCAGUUGGUAAAAUGCUUGUCAUGUGACUUUGGAUCCCCAGCAUCCACAUAAAAAGCCAGACAUAGCUGAGCAUCUAAUUCCAGAUGCUGAGGCAGCAGAGACAGGGGGAUCCCUUGGACUUUGUGGCUAGCCAGUUUAUCGGUAAAUUCCAGGUUAUUGAGAGACUGAAAAAAAUUCAAGGUGGAGAAGCAAUCGAAGAAGACAUUCAGUUUUAACCCUUGACCUACAUGUGUAUGUACACACUUAUCUCCACAUAAACACAUACAAAAACACAUACAAAAACAUAUAAAACAAACAAACAAACAAACUUCUGGAAUCUCUCAUUCUAUCCAGCGCUUCAUGUAUGCAAACAAGGGGUGUAUUGUCUUAAUUUCUGUUUGCAGGCCUCCUUUAAAAUCUGGUAUCCCCACUCGGCCCCCCUGAGCUGUCCAACUUGGCAGUGGUGCAAAUAAGGACCUGCCUGCUUGUCUGGGAAGAGGGAAGAAAGGAGCCAUUGAGGGAGAAGCCUGAAGCACAGGGAUGGGAUGGGGCAUUGGCCUCCUAAGAGGUUCCGUGGCGGAGUUCAGGCCUUCCUGUCAGCCCCACAGGCUGGAUGAGCACAGCUGAGAGGCACUGCUGGAAAAGAGGCUGCGUUGUCUCUCCACCUUCAAGGAUGCUGCAGGCUCUUGGUUGAAUUCAUGAGCUGGUGUUAUGCCUGGAUGCAGGACUAGAUUGUACUGCCUUACAAGGUCCCUGAGUUUUAGCUAUAGCUUUGAAGCCAGGAUUGCUUCCCCCCAAGUUCUCUGUACUCUGCAGCCAGCGCAGGACUCUGGCUGUUCUCAAAUACUGGGGACACUUGAUGCAUUAGCCCUGGCCCUUUAUCACCCUUGGAAAAGAUUCAUGGAUCCAAUUGAGUGUCCUAUACAUGUUCAAGACUGUCUAAAUAUUAUUAUUCUGCUAGACAAUAAAGCUCAUUAGUAAGAGUAUACACACAAAAAGAAAAACUGUAGACCUCAGAGAAUUCACCACACAGUUUUGAAUUAGAAAGACUUGGCUCUAAACCUCUGUUCUGUUUGUUUUGGUCCUAGUCAAUGUAUUUCACUUUUUCGAGCCUCAGACUUUCCGGCUGUAAAAUAGGAAUAAGAAUACCUUUGUGAGCCAGGCAGUGAUGUCACUCCCCUCUAAUCUCAGCACUUGGGAGGCAGAGAUAGGUGGAUCGCUGAGUUUAGGCCAGCCUGGUCUGCAGAGUAAGUUCCAGGACAGCCAGGACUACACAGAGAAACUCUAUCUCAAACAAAAACAAACAAACAAACAAGCAGAAACCUUCAUGAAGGCAGAGUAUGGUAUCCCAUAUUUGUAAUCUGACUGAGUGAUGCCCCCACCCCACCCCUGCCUCAUGAUUUCUCAAUAAAUUUUAACCCUGACAUCUUAUUCCUGUGCAUCCCCUAGGAGAAGGUAGCUGAUGUCCUUGCCUUAUUCCUACUACUCUAGACACAGCUCUGAAUCACUCUGAUUUUAGAAAAGCCCUUCUUCUGACUCUGCCUCCUGUAUCCUUGGGUCACACCUUCUCACUGAGAGACUAUCCAGUCAUUUGGGGAGAUUUGAGGGCUCCCAAAGUAGUAAUGCCAUAAAUGUGUGCCCUUUGUUGUAUGUUACCUUUGGUGUGUGUGGCAAUUAACGAUGGGGUGGGAGGUUGGUCCUGCAGAUAAGAUGUCAAGCAUUGAAGGGCUUCAUAUGUCAGUUCCUCCAGUAGCUCCUGCAGAACAGUGCCCUGCUGAAAGCCUUCUCUUCCCUACCCAGUCACACUUGCCCCUGCACAAUAAGGUGGCCAGCAUGCUCACCCUGGAACCUAACAGGUAAACCUUUUCUUUACUCCCAACCAAUAUUAAUGACAACGCAAUUUGGGGUGGACAUCACCUCUACCUUCAGUGUAAGUACAGGGACUGCCCCCACCACCACCUCAGGCUCCCACUUUCUGCCUUCCUUCUUUCUUUCUUUGGGUUGUUUGUUUUUAGAUUUUUUUGAAACAGGAACUUUUUGUGUAGCCUUGGCUGUCAUGGAACUCACUAUGUAGACCAUGCCUCCAAAUCAGAAAUCCACCUGCCUCUGCCUCUGAAGUGCUGGGAUUCAAGGAUGUGUGCCACCACCACCUGGCAAGACCAGCCUUCUUUAAAUUCCUCAAGACCCACAUUGCACUGCAGUGGCCCUCCUAAGAAAGCCCCUAGACUGUGAGUAUGAGAGAAUUAGCUACAAGCAAUGGAUUGUUAUUGAGGGAAAACAACAACAACAACAACAAAAACAAAAAACAAAAAACAAAAAACAAACAAAACGAGGCCAAAUAUUCACAGUCUCUUGAAUUAGCUUAACAUGUCAUUGGUCCAAGGAAUAACACACCUUUCCUGGUCACAGAGAUGCCAGGCCUCUUUUAUGUACAUCCCAUCUUGGCUGAGGUGCUUACCCCCAUAUUUGAAUACUUGGUCUCCAGUUAGUAACCCUGUUUGGUUUUGAGAGGUCUAGGAGGUGUGGCUUUGCUGAAGAGAGUGUGUCACUGGGUCAGGCUUUGAGAUUUCAAAAGGAUGUGCUAUUUCCAGUGCAUUGAUUUUCUAUGUAAGCUCUCAGCUGCUGCUCCAGUCACCAUUUCUACCCCCACUCUGCCCUCAUAGACUCUAACUCUCUGGAAAUGUAAGCCCAAAACAAACUCUUUCUUCUAUAAACGGCCUUGGUCAAGGUGCUUUAUCACAGAAGCAGAAUGAUAACUAAAGCAUCAGUCUUGGGACCAUGCAGAAGACAAAAAAUACCACAAAGAAACCUUUGUAAGCCCACUAUACUUUCAGCUCUCCUUUUGCUUUUGCUGAUCUUUCCAGACUCAGGGAGGAGAGAUUUGGGGAGGAUAGAAGAUGCUGCACACCUUUAAUUGGUAGACAAAUUGAAAAAGAAGAUUCUGAUCCUAUGUCCACCGGAAUCUCUUCAUUUGUGAAUUCCUGAAGUCCUGGCGUAUAAUGAAAAUGACAGAGAGAAAUCAAAUGUCAGAAUUCUAAAUGAGAUUUUAGAAAUUAUCUGAUGCAGCCCUCUGUUUUUCAGAUGUUGGAAUACACGUGUUCAUAUGUUUGCUCCAUCAUACAUUCAUUCAUUCACCUAAUAUUUGUUCACCUUCAUUAUUAUGUCAGUGUUUGCCAAACUACCAGACUGAACCUACAUAGGACAGGGAAUGUGGCAGUUAUGGGUCUGGCCCUUCCUUUGUUUGCUUCUUUGUUUCGUGUGUGUGUGUGUGUGUGUGUGUGUGUGUGUGUGUGUGUGUGUGUGUGUGUGUGUGUGUAAACUUGACAUAAACUAGAGUUGCAAGGAGGGAAUUACAGUUGAGAAAAUGAAUCCAUAAGAUUAGGGAAAGGAAGCCUGUGGGGCAUUUUCUUAAUAGGUGACUUAUACGGGAGACUCCAAUACAGUGAAGGUGGUGCUACCCCUGAGCUUAUGGUCUGUGUGUAUAAGAAAGCAGGCUGAUGCACUGCUACUCAAGCAUCCAGGGCCAGGCUGCUGCCAGGAGCUAUGUCUCUUUCUGCAGUCCUAUGGCAGCCUAUAGCAAACUCUAUGAUGUCCCAGACCUGUUACCACCAAAGGCAAUGCGGAUGCCCCUGGUCUGGUCUGCCACCUAAGGCUCGGUGUUGAGCUGGCCUCACCCCUACCUAGGCAACAUAGUAGAGUUGCCGCCUGUGGGAGCUGGGAGAGCAGGCUCUGCCCUUGGCCCUUGCUUCCUUUGGGAAGUGGGAGAGCAGGCCCCACACCUCACCUGGGCUGCACAGUAGAGCUGACCCUGGUGGCAUGGGUGCUGGUGAGACAUGACAUUAGGAGAAGUGGCCCCUGCUCCUUGCCAGUUGUUGUAGCAGAUGAGCUAGCUGGGGCAGUGCUGGAGAGCUUGCCCUAGUGGUGUGAGCCCAGGAUAACUGAUGGGCUGACCAACUCAGGUACCUCCCAUGCCCAGAUCCAAGGCUUUGAGUUGGCCCACCCCAGCAUCUACUCCAUCAAGUGUAAGGCCAAGACCUGCAGAUCCAGUGCUGCAGGAUCUCCAAGACACAGGGCAGUAACAGUAUAUCAGAGAGAACUCCCUGUGAGGAUCUAGUAUUCAUAGAGUAACAGAAACCAGAGGCCUCAAAACAAACCAAUGACUCCUUGGGCAGAGGGUAGAUACAAAGGGAUGGGGACAAGAGUGGGGUUGGAAUGCAUGAAGUGAAAUUCACAAGAAAUCAAUAAAAAGCUGAAAAGAAAGAAAGAAAGGGAAGGAGGGAGGGAGGGAGGGAGGAAACAGCAAGGUAGGGAGGCAAGGUGAAGGAGGUCAAGAGGUCAGGAGUCCUCAGGAAUUUCCAGGUCAAGCCUGUCUAUAGCGCAGGUGUUCCGUGUGACUACGGGGAUGAGGAACUGGAGAUAGCCACUGGAGGGUCCCAGAUGCCAGGGAAGCAAGAGGCUUCCAGGACCCAAUGGGGACGACUUUAGCUGAAAUACGCAGUAAAGAGGAGAUAGAUCCUGUAGAGACCACCUCCAGUGGAUAGGCAUGACCCCCGGUUGAGGGAAUGGGACCACCCAUCCAUUUCAAAGUUUUUAACCAGGAAAUGUUCCUGUCUAAAGGAAAGACAGGGAUUUAAAAAAAAUGGAGCAGAGACUGAAGGAAGGACCAUUGGGAGACCUCCCCAUCCAGGGAUCCAUCCUUGUCUCCAGACACCAAACCCCAGCACUGCUACUAUUACCAAGAGGCACUUGCUGACAGGAACCUGAGGUGGCUGUUCCUUGGGAGGUUCUGCCAGCAACUGAGCAGUGCAGAUGUGGAUGCUUGGAGCCAACCAUCAGGCUGAGCCCGGGAAUCCUGCUCCCCCCAGAGGAGCUGGAGGAAGGCUUGGAGAAGCAGAGGGGGAUUGUAACACCAUAGGAAGAACAAUGUGGGUUGGCCAGAUCAUCCAGUGCUCCCAGGGACUAGACCACCAACCAAGGAGUGUACAGGGAGGGAUCCAUAGCUCCAGAAACAUAUGUAGCAGUGGAUGGCCUUGUCUGACAUCAAUAGGAGGAGAGACCCUUGGUCCUGUGGAGGUUUGAUGCCCCAAUGUAGGUGGAUGUGGGAGUGGUGGGGUAGGAGAGGGUGGGUAGGUGGGGGAGUACCCUCAUAGAGGCAAAGGGCAGGGAGAGAGGGCAGAUGGGGGGGGUUGUGGAGGGGUAACCAGGAAAUGGGCUAUCAUUUGAGAUGUAAAUGAAUGGAAUGAUUAAUAAAAAACAGAAAGAAAGAGAGAGGAAGGAAGGAAGGAAGGAAGGAAGGAAGGAAGGAAGGAAGGAAGGAAGGAGGGAGGGAGGGAGGGAGGGAGGGAGGGAGGGAGGGAGGGAGGGAGGGAAGAAGAAAGCCGAAACUGAGCAUGUUAGCAAAUGUAUUUAAUCCCAGAAGUCAGCCAGCAGUAGGAUCUUUAUGAGUUGAAAGCUGACCUGGUCUCACAGUGAACUCCAAGCUGUAAGCCCAGGGCUACAUAGAGAGACCCCAUCUCCAGAAACAAAAUAAAAUAUAAGCAAACAAAGAGUCAGGCAGAGUAUGCCUGACCAAGCCCUAAGGAACAAACCAAUCAGCAACAUUCCUUCAUGGCUUCAGCUCAGAUCCUGUCUCUAGGUUCCUGCCUCGUGGUUCCUGCCCUGACUUCCUUCUGUGAUGACCUAUGAUAUGGAACUGUACACUGAAAUAAAUCCUUUUCUCCCAA